rnacentral:rRNA from 2 species
GGACGCAUCACUGGUGUUCGGGUUGUCAUGCCAAUGGCACUGCCCGGUAGCUAAAUGCGGAAGAGAUAAGUGCUGAAAGCAUCUAAGCACGAAACUUGCCCCGAGAUGAGUUCUCCCUGAGACUUAGAGUCUCCUGAAGGAACGUUGAAGACGACGACGUUGAUAGGCCGGGUGUGUAAGCGCAGCGAUGCGUUGAGCUAACCGGUACUAAUGAACCGUGAGGCUUAACCUUACAACGCCGAAG